rnacentral:tRNA from 1 species
UAGCUUGGAGGGUAGUGCGUCUGCCUUGUAAGCACUAGGUUGCGGGUUCGAUUCCCGC